rnacentral:rRNA from 1 species
CCUACGGGGGGCAGCAGUGAGGAAUAUUGGUCAAUGGCCGCAGGUCUGAACCAGCCAAGUCGCGUGAGGGAUGACGGUCCUAUGGGUUGUAAACCUCUUUUGUCAGGGAGCAAAGGGCGCCACGUGUGGCGUUUUGCGAGUACCUGAAGAAAAAGCAUCGGCUAACUCCGUGCCAGCAGCCGCGGUAAUACGGAGGAUGCGAGCGUUAUCCGGAUUUAUUGGGUUUAAAGGGUGCGCAGGCGGAAUGUCAAGUCAGCGGUAAAAUUUCGGGGCUCAACCCCGUCGUGCCGUGGGAACUGGCGUGCUUGAGUGAGCGAGAAGUAUGCGGAAUGCGUGGUGUAGCGGUGAAAUGCAUAGAUAUCACGCAGAACUCCGAUUGCGAAGGCAGCAUACCGGCGCUCAACUGACGCUCAUGCACGAAAGCGUGGGUAUCGAACAGGAUUAGAUACCCCGGGUAGUC